AAAGGCUCUAAAGUCCAUUUAAUAUGCAGUACAGUUUCAUCAAAAUUAUUACGAUCAAUAGCUAAAGUUGAAAGGAUCCAGUUUUCAGAAACUCUCACUGGGUUCAAGUGGAUGGGUAACUUAAGCCACACCCUCCUUGAGAAAGGAGAGGAGGUUGUCUUUGCUUUUGAAGAAGCAAUAGGAUUCAUGUUUGGUACUACAGUACUGGAUAAAGAUGGAGUGAGUGACUGGAGAAAUGGCCGCCUACCUUUACUCUAAUGGAGAGACAUUCUCUUCACUGUUGGAAGACAUUUAUUUAAAAUAUGGUCGAGUUGUCUCAAGCAAUUCUUAUUUCAUAUGUCACUCAAAAGAAACGAUAAAAGAAGUCUUUGAUGGACUGAGAAAAGAUGGA